UACGUAGGGUGCGAGCGUUGUCCGGAAUUAUUGGGCGUAAAGAGCUUGUAGGCGGUUUGUCGCGUCUGCCGUGAAAGCCCAGGGCUUAACCCUGGGUCUGCGGUGGGUACGGGCAGACUAGAGUGAUGUAGGGGAGACUGGAAUUCCUGGUGUAGCGGUGAAAUGCGCAGAUAUCAGGAGGAACACCGAUGGCGAAGGCAGGUCUCUGGGCAUUAACUGACGCUGAGGAGCGAAAGCAUGGGGAGCGAACAGG
rnacentral:rRNA from 1 species